UAGAAACAUUACUUAGGGUAAUAAUUAAUUUUCCUAGUCAUCUCUACUUUCAUUAUUCUGAUUAUGUUCUAAGAUAAAUUAUCACUUCAAUGAAAGCAUGUAUGGUCCUAAUACUCAAUAUGGUGUAAUGUUGGACCACAUGGACUAUAAGAAUAAACCUUCUAGCUUGGACCUUAUCUUAGUUCCUUAUUGGAUAAGUAUGUGAAUCCCAGACUUGCCUUUUCUUUUUGUUAAUGUUGGCACUUUAAAAUGAAAGUAAUAAUUGUAAUAACACUAUAAAGGUUACAGAAGAGCUACUUUGUGAGCAUAGAACAUAAGUCAUUCUAAAAAAUGUGUCAGUUGCUAUACUUAAGAAUAUUGAAUGCAAUUAAUGUUUGGAGGUGCUAUCGUUUGGAUACAGUGAGAGUGUAUUCCCUAGCCCAAAGUUCAUGUCCAUGAAUCUUGGUUUCGGAAUGUGGUGGUGUGGAAGUGGUAGAAAUUUAAAAGGUGGAGCCUAAGUGGAAGAUAAGUAGAUCAUGGAGAUCUGCCUACAGAAAGGGUUAAUGUUGGUCUCAGGCAGUAGAUUAAAUCCUUAGAGGAUGGUUGUUAUAAAGGAGUCUGGUGCCUUCUUUGAAUUCCUUUUUCUACACACGCUGCUGCACACCACUCUCACAGGAGCUGUUUUAACUGUGAUAGCACCCAUCAUGAGGUCAUAACCAGAGCCAAAUACACUCUGAUACUGAGGUCUUGAACCUCCAGAGCUAUGCACUAAAUAAAUCUCUUUUCUUUAUAAAAUACCCUGCCUCACCCAUUUUGUUAUACCAAGAGAAGACAGACAAAGAUAGAAGAGAGACAUCUUACUUAUUUUUGUUUUCAUGUGCAUUAAACAGUACUGAUAUUAAAUAAGAACAAAAUAAAUACUGGGUGAAUGAUGCCUGAAAUACUUACAGAAUUUAAAAAUUCUUAUCUCAUAUUUGCAUGUUUUAGCUCAUCAGAUUCUUUCAACAUCUUUUGAUAUAGCCAGAACAGAAAUUAGUAUCUCUUUCUCUCUUUAAAGAUGAGCAAAUAAAAUAAAACCAGACUGUUUCCCAAAAGAUGCCACAUAAUAAUCAAUUUCAGAGUUGGAACUAGGAUCAAGUUUGCCCAGCUAUCUCAUAUCCCAUCUUGCAUUAUGUGAAAAAAUUAUAGAAAGUAUUGAGACAUGCCACUUUCAUAUAAAACAGUGUUUUUCUAAAAGAAAGUUAUUUCAAUGGGAAAAAUAAUUUGACUUUUAAUUUCUUAAAUGUAUGCUGUUUCCCCAAGAUAGAGGAACCAUCGAGAAAGCAGAAUUAUUUUAAACAAUGGGAAUAAACAAUUUCAAGAUGGUGUUUGCCUCUGAACAAAGAAUGACAAUUGGAGUUCCAUUUGUCAGACAGGACAGAAAGGCAUAAAAGAUGAAUUACGGCCUUAUUCUUUGAGUAUAAAUGGAAUCUCUCGGAUCAAACUGCUCCUUUGAAUUCUAUGAAGAAGUUUAGAAGCAAAUUCACCAUGUAGAAUAUCAAUAAAUGCAUUUCUGAUGAGACUGAACACCAGGGUUGAAGUAGGGGGAGAUAUUCGAGAAGUCACUGCUUACUGCAAAGUGGGCUGGAAACAGAAUCCUGUGCAAGUCUUGUAUUGCUUGGAGGCUGUGUCUGGCCAGUAUCCUGCCCUAUCCACCCCUGAGGAAGGACACUUCACAUGAGUUCAAUAUUGUGUACUUGACCACAUGCUAUUUUCUUCUGAGUCAAGUCAGUCCUUUGUCCUCCUUCCAGUUCCUUUGUGUUCACUUGGAGACUCUCUGUGGUCUCCAUGCUCAGUCAUCUUUUCAUGCUUGUCUGAACGCUGAUCAAAGGUCAGAAGGAGGAGCUGUCUGGGCCAUUCUGUCCAGCCCAGAUUCUAUACUGUUCACUUCUCUUUUGCCUACUUCUUGGCUCAGGGAUAUUGCCUCUGGCCUUUAGUGGCAGGCUUGUUUUGCUUUGGAUUUAUUAUACAGCAGGAUACUUGGUUCUAUAACACAGGAUAGGCAAACCACCGCCUACAGGCCAACUCUGGCCUGCAUCCUACUUUAGUAAAUGAAAUUUUACUGGAGCUCAGACAUCCUUGUUCAUUUUCGUGUGGUCUAUGGCUGCUUUAGCAUGUCAAUGUCAGGACCGCAUGCCCUAAGAAGAUUAAAUAUUUAAUAUCCGAUUCAACGAAAAAAUGGCUGAGCACUUUUCUACACUAACAGAAAUCUCAGAUGCAGCCUUUUGUUUAUAUUAUAACUUUCUCUAUCCUGACCUUUCAGUGAUGGCCAGUGCCAUCUGCUGCUCACCUGUUUCGCUCUUCCCUGUGCUUACAUAUCAUCAGUUGGACAUCACCGACUAUAGGAAGCAGAAACCAGCAACAUACAUGUUGGCUUUUCUUUCAAAUGAAACAGCAUCUUGGCUUCUGCUUUCGCUGUAUGCCUCGAGUUUAGGUUUGGUUCAUCGAUAAAGUUUAUUUUCCUUUCUGAUCAUUUAUCUUUCUAAACCACAUCUGUCCAAUAACUGUACUGAGGGAGAUAAUGAUUUUGUACAUUGGUUUUCUCUUAUGUGAUACGCAUGACAAUAUUCUCCUACUUAACCUGAACAGUAACUCAGUUGGCUGAUGUUUUUAUUCUUGUAUUGCACACACAAAAACUAUUGUAUUCCUUUAAAAUUGGAAUAUUAAUUUGAGGUUUAAGUCAUUACAGGAGAUCUUUCCACUGUACUCAUUAUCUGUAGCUAUGUGAAGAAGCUCCAGACUCAGAAGCUUUGUAUAACAACAUGUGUUUUCUCCCCGUGUCUGUAAUUCAGGAGUCCAGGUGCAGCUUAACUGGGUCCUCUGGCUCUGGGAUCGCUCACACACGGCAAUCAGAGUGCUGGUCUGCGUUGCAGUCAUCUCAAGUCUCUCUGCUGGGGAAUGAGCAGUUUCCAAGUUCAGUCACAUGGCUGUUGGCAGGAUUAAGUUCCUCCUGGGCUGCUGGCUGGAGGCCACCCUCAGUUGCUUGCCACUUGAGUCUCUCCAUAGGCAGCUCCUGAUGUGGCAGCUGGCUUCAUCAAAGCAAGCAAGCAAGCAAGCAAAUAUCAGAGAGAGCACGGAGUCUGGUGAAGUCAUUUCUUCUUUGUAAAUGAAUCCUGGUAGUGAGACUCUAUCUUUGUGACCACAUUCUAUUCAUUAAAAUUGAGUCACUGUAUUCAGGGAGAGGUCACACAUGUGCAUGAUAACCAGGAGGGGUGAUAUUGAGGAAGCAUUCAGUAACUGCCUACAGUGGUCAUCUCCCGGUAUAAAUAUGUACCUGUACCUUUAGCCUUCUUCCAAUCUCUUCUUAUCCUGUGUAGGGUCAAGAUCAGAUGCCUGGUACUCUUAACACUCGUAUUCACAUGCUGGUGCCCUUUUCACUUCUGGAAGCUCCUCUCAGACUAACGCUUCAUUCCAUCAGCUUAACCACUAUGUCAAGAGGUUGUUGCACAUUAUUUCCUUUGGGAUUUUGGAGACAUUUAAUACUUAACUAAGUUAUACUCCAUAGGAAAGCAUAUCCAUUGUUCCCAUCAGAGAACACAGCUAGAAUACACGCUUAAUGCUAAUAUGGUUUUGAUUAGGUUUGUCUUCUGGAGCAAUAGGGGGCUUGCUAUUAUGUGUAUAGGUCUGCAUUUGGGGGACAUAGAGUGGACCAUUUCUUAUCCACCCAAAGAUCUCUCUAUGUGGAAAUGUGUCUCUGCAGAAACAAAGAUUUUAUUUGCAAGUGAUCAUGUGUUGACUGUUACACUUCUAAUAGAGGCAUUGAUAUUUGUUGGUUGUCUCUAUCCAGCAUGAUGAAAUGAAGAUUAAUUUUUCUGCAGCUUAGUCCAGAAAUAAUACCAGCACACCUUCCAUGCAUCACUUUCCACGGAACUACACAAUAAAUGUCCUGGUCCAUGCCGCCUCUAUGUUAUCCCGUGCUGACUCACAGAACCAAUCUGAGUUCAUAUUAAUGUGAGCUUAUAAUUUCUAUGGCAACUCUAACUGUUAUCUUAUGAUGACUUCUGGAGCUCCCCAGGCAGAGGGAGCCAGCUCAGGGCUUUAAGAAAGAGCUUCCAUGAUGUCUUGACCCAUUGAAAUGAAAGGUUGUUUUUAAAAAGUCAAGAGUACAAUAAACUCACCCCCUUCUUCAGAGCACAGCUUCUCCCCUCUCCCAACCUAAUUAGAGUAAUUGGUGUUUAAGGAGAUAUUGAUUUGGCGUGAUGGUUUUCUCUUGUCUGGCACACAUCACAACAUUCUUCUUACUUAACCCAGAUAGCAAUCUGGUUGACUGAUGGACAGAAUUCUGCCUUCCGAAGUCCAACCUUGGCAUACAUGUCUCAAGGAGAGAUGAGUUCAACUGGCUGCUGAUGGCAUUAUUGCAUGCAUAAAUAAACCAAGGAAAUAGAAAAAGGCCAGGACAGAGGGCUGCAUUAGUCUGGCCUUGUUAAAAAGUGUUAUGCUGUGGGGACUCGUCUUCUGCAAUUCAAAUUAGUUUUCUUGGUUUUUCUCUUGGCUGGGCCCCCUGUGCUCUCUGAGUGAUAACUCUGGCCCAUCCCAGCGACAGGUAGAAUUGAAAAGUCUUUUUAUUUCCAUAGGCUUAAGCCAAACCUCUCCAAACAAGCUAUUCCAGAGCUGAGCCCGAGCCCGCUAAUGCCUCGGUUGGCAGCUCAAGCGCGGCCUCCUCCUUGGCGAGCCCAGAGUCGCUCUUAUCCACUUCAGCUGUCUUUUAAAAGCCUCCUCUCACAAAAGACAGAGCUGCUCUCAAGGGCCUGGGAAAAAUAGAAAAUUUUCACACUGUGAUGGGAAACACUGUCAAGAACGGAAACGCUACAGCGAAGCGUCAGACACCAGUGUGCAGUGGCAGUUACAGUGAGGGGAUCAGGCUGUGUGGGAGAGAGAAACACCCAAAUUAACAUAGAGAGAUAAUUUCCUAAACUGAAAACAGUAAAAUUUGAUGACUACUCCUAGGCAAAAUGAAUCAAAGGAUGGAGACAACAGGAAGACUAGAAGAUCUGGCUACCUGUGUAGACAUAAGCAUAAUAUUGACAUGGAACUUCUCUUGUGUGGAGCCGUACACCAAUCUUGUCUGUGACAUUUGCCUUGAGUGGCCUAGUGCUCCUAAGAUCUCUUCAUUAUUGCACGUCAGUAUUUACCUGUGUAUAUGUUUUUCCUCCCUUCCUUAAACAGCCAUGUUUCACAUGUGACUUAGUCUUUAACUCUUUCAAUCCCCCUAUAAUUCUCCCUCUCUUCCCCCUUCUCUCUUCCUCAUUUCUUCUUUUUGCAUCCACUGGUUUACAAAUGUUUGAAUACCUCAUAAAUAUUGGGGCCAUUAAAUAGGAACUGACAUAAGGGCAGUCAUGAGAUCUAAAGGGAAACCUCAAUGAUAACAAAAGCAUUCUGGAUGCAAAUAAAGUAUCUCUGGUUUUCACCAGAUUCCGUUUUGCUAUGCAACACCAUGCAGUGCAAUACACUUACAUCACUGUGGAAUUUUUACAAGUUUCAUUGUUUGCUCUUUCAAAGUUCUUUUCCUUAUCCACAAUUAUUCUACAGACUUUCAUGCUUUUCAAAUUCUAAUUUUUAGUUAUCUUAAAUAACUAGAGAAAUGAUCAUCCGAGUUACAAUUACCCUGGCAAUUCUUCCCCACACACUGACAGGCAGUGGGCUUUGAGGAAGAAGGGACACAGGCCU